rnacentral:rRNA from 1 species
CGGGUGAGUAACGCGUGGGUAACCUGCCUCAUACAGGGGGAUAACAGUUAGAAAUGACUGCUAAUACCGCAUAAGCGCACAGAAUCGCAUGAUUCGGUGUGAAAAACUCCGGUGGUAUGAGAUGGACCCGCGUCUGAUUAGCUAGUUGGUGGGGUAAGGGCCUACCAAGGCGACGAUCAGUAGCCGACCUGAGAGGGUGAUCGGCCACAUUGGGACUGAGACACGGCCCAAACUCCUACGGAAGGCAGCAG